UUCGAUCCUGGCUCAGAUUGAACGCUGGCGGAUGCUUUCAUACAUGCAAGUCGAACGGCAGCACGGACUUCGGUCUUUCCGUGGCGAGUGGCGAACGGGUGAGUAAUGUAUCGGAACGUGCCUAGUAGCGGGGGAUAACUACGCGAAAGCGUAGCCAUUACCGCAUACGCCCUUUCGGGGAAAGCGGGGGACCUUCGGGCCCUUCCGCAAUUAUUAGAGCGGCCGAUAUCGGAUUAGCUAGUUGGUGGGGUAACGUCUCACUACAUGACGAUCCGUAGCUGGUUUGAGAGGACGACCAGCCACACUGGGACUGAGACACGGCCCAGACUCCUACGAGGCAGCAGUGGGGAAUUUGGACAAUGGGGAAACCCCAGAUCCAGCCAUCCCGCGUGUGCGAUGAAGGCCUUCGGGUUGGUAAAGCACUUUGGCAGGAAAGAACGUCGUGGGUUAUCAUUCUCGCUUAAACUGACGGUACCUGCAGAAUAAGCACCGGCUAACUACGUGCCACAGCAGCCGCGGUAAUACGUAGGUGCGUUAAUCGGAAUUACUGGGCGUAAAGCGUGCGCAGGCGGUUCGGGAAAGAAAGAUGUGAAAUCCCAGAGCUUAACUUUGGAACUGCAUUUUUAACUACCGGGCUAGAGUGUCAGAGGGGAGGUGGAAUUCCGCGUAGCAGUGAAAUGCGUAGAUAUGCGGAGGAACACCGAUGGCGAAUAGCAGCUCCUGGGAUAACACUGACGCUCAUGCACGAAAGCGUGGGGAGCAAACAGGAUUAGAUACCCUGGUAGUCCACGCCCUAAACGAUGUCAACUAGCUGUUGGGGGCCUUCGGGCCCGGUAGCGCAGCCAACGUAUGCGAAGUUGACCGCCUGGGGAGCAUGGUCGCAAAGAUGAAACUCGCAAGGAAUUGACGGGACCUCGCACGGGGGCGGUGGAUGAUGUGGAUUAAUUCGAUGCAAACGCGAAACUUACCUGCACUCUUGACAUGUUCCGGAAAUGCUGAAGCAAGAGAUUUGGCAGUGCCUGCAAGAGAAACCGAAUACAAAGUUGCAUGUACGUCACAGUCGUAAUGUGAGAGAUGUUGGUUAAGUCCCACGAGCGCAACUCAAUAAGCAUGACACAAAGGGCACUUAAUGAGAUUUCUGCCGGGUGACAAACCGGAGGAAGGUGGGGAUGACGUCAAGUCCUCAUGGCCCCUUAUGUAGGGCCAUACUGUCAUACAAUGGUUUGAUGAGGGUCGCUGCCAACCUCGCAGGGGAGCCAAUCCUAGAAACCUGAUCAAAUCUGAUCGCAGUCUGCAACUUCGACUGCGUGGCCUGAAUCAGUAAUCGCGGAUCAGCAGCUGCCGCAGUGAAUACGUUCCCGGGUCUUGUACACACCGCCCGUCACGAGCUCGGGAGUGGGUUUACCAGAAGUAGUUAAUGAACCGCGGCGGGGCGAUUACCACAGGAUUCACGACUGGGGUGAAGUCGUAAUAAGGUAGCUCUGAAAUACGCUACCUGAUGGCCCGUGAUAA
rnacentral:rRNA from 1 species